GACGAACCGUCCAAACGUUAUUCGGUAUCACUGGGCUUAAAGAGUUCGUAGGCGGCCCUGCAGGUCAGGUGUGAAAUCCCACAGCUCAACUGUGGAACUGCGCUUGAAACCGCAAGGCUUGAGGGAGAUAGAGGUGAGCGGAACAGAUGGUGGAGCGGUGAAAUGCGUUGAUAUCAUCUGGAACACCGGUGGCGAAAGCGGCUCACUGGAUCUCUUCUGACGCUGAGGAACGAAAGCUAGGGUAGCGAAC
rnacentral:rRNA from 1 species